UCGGGGAUCGGCGAAUCGGUAGGCCUCCGGCUUCUGAGGCCGGUCGUGGAGGUUCGAGCCCUCCUCCCCGAUC
rnacentral:tRNA from 1 species